rnacentral:rRNA from 1 species
UAGUCCUAGCCGUAAACGAUGUGAACUUGGCGCUGGGUGGGUAAAACCAAUCAGUGCCGCAGCAAACGCGAUAAGUUCACCACCUGGGGACUACGGCCGCAAGGUUAAAACUCAAAGGAAUUGACGGGGGCCCGCACAAGCAGCGGAGCGUGUGGUUUAAUUCGAUGCUACACGAAGAACCUUACCAGGGCUUGACAUGUACGUGGUAGCGAAGCGAAAGCGGAGCGACCCUUCGGGGAGCGUGCAC